rnacentral:rRNA from 1 species
CCUACGGGCGACAGCAGUGAGGAAUAUUGGUCAAUGGGCGGGAGCCUGAACCAGCCAAGUCGCGUGAGGGAAGACGGUCCUAUGGAUUGUAAACCUCUUUAGGCGGGGAGCAAUGCCGGGCACGCGUGCCCGGAGGGAGAGUACCCGCAGAAUAAGCAUCGGCUAACUCCGUGCCAGCAGCCGCGGUAAUACGGAGGAUGCGAGCGUUAUCCGGAUUUAGUGGGUUUAAAGGGUGCGUAGGCGGAUUUUUAAGUCAGCGGUAAAAUGUCCGGGCUCAACCCGGGCCGGCCGUUGAAACUGGGGAUCUUGAGUGGGCGAGAAGUAUGCGGAAUGCGUGGUGUAGCGGUGAAAUGCAUAGAUAUCACGCAGAACUCCGAUUGCGAAGGCAGCAUACCGGCGCCCGACUGACGCUGAGGCACGAAAGCGUGGGGAUCGAACAGGAUUAGAUACCCUAGUAGUC